CCUACGUGAGGCAGCAGUGAGGAAUAUUGGUCAAUGGGCGCGAGCCUGAACCAGCCAAGUAGCGUGAAGGAUGACUGCCCUACGGGUUGUAAACUUCUUUUAUAAAGGAAUAAAGUGAGGCACGUGUGCCUUUUUGUAUGUACUUUAUGAAUAAGGAUCGGCUAACUCCGUGCCAGCAGCCGCGGUAAUACGGAGGAUCCGAGCGUUAUCCGGAUUUAUUGGGUUUAAAGGGAGCGUAGAUGGGUUGUUAAGUCAGUUGUGAAAGUUUGGGGCUCAACCGUAAAAUUGCAAUUGAUACUGGCAGUCUUGAGGACAGUGGAGGUAGGCGGAAUUCGUGGUGUAGCGGUGAAAUGCUUAGAUAUCACGAAGAACUCCGAUUGCGAAGGCAGCUUACUAAACUGCCACUGACAUUGAUGCUCGAAAGUGUGGGUAUCAAACAGGAUUAGAUACCCCUGUAGUC
rnacentral:rRNA from 1 species